rnacentral:rRNA from 1 species
UCCAGACUCCUACGGGAGGCAGCAGUGGGGAAUUUUGCGCAAUGGGGGAAACCCUGACGCAGCAACGCCGCGUGCGGGACGAAGGCCCUCGGGCUGUAAACCACUUUCAGCAGGGAAGACAUCGACGGUACCUGCAGAAGAAGCUCCGGCUAACUACGUGCCAGCAGCCGCGGUAAUACGUAGGGAGCAAGCGUUAUCCGGAUUUAUUGGGUGUAAAGGGUGCGUAGACGGGUAUACAAGUUAGUAGUGAAAUCCCUCGGCUUAACUGAGGAACUGCUACUAAAACUAUAUAUCUUGAGUACUGGAGGGGAAAGCGGAAUUCCUAGUGUAGCGGUGAAAUGCGUAGAUAUUAGGAAGAACACCGGUGGCGAAGGCGGCUUUCUGGACAGAAACUGACGUUGAGGCACGAAAGUGUGGGGAGCAAACAGGAUUAGAUACCCCCGUAA